UGCAUAGGAAUCUACCUAGUAGUGUGGGAUAGCCACUGGAAACGGUGGGUAAUACCGCAUACUCCCUGAGGGGGAAAGAUUUAUCGCUACCAGAUGAGCCUAUGUUAGAUUAGCUAGUUGGUGGGGUAAUAGCCUACCAAGGCGAUGAUCUAUAGCUGGUUUGAGAGGACGAUCAGCCACACUGGAACUGAGAUACGGUCCAGACUCCUACGGGAGGCAGCAGUGGGGAAUAUUGGACAAUGGGCGCAAGCCUGAUCCAGCCAUGUCGCGUGAGUGAAGAAGGCCCUAGGGUUGUAAAACUCUUUCAGUGGGGAAGAUAAUGACGGUACCCACAGAAGAAGUCCCGGCAAACUCCGUGCCAGCAGCCGCGGUAAUACGGAGGGGGCGAGCGUUGUUCGGAAUCAUUGGGCGUAAAGGGCAUGUAGGCGGUUCGGUAAGUUAAAAGUGAAAUGCCAGGGCUUAACCUUGGAGCGGCUUUUAAUACUGCCAAACUAGAGGCUGAGAGAGGAUUAGCGGAACUCCUAGUGUAGAGGUGAAAUUCGUA
rnacentral:rRNA from 1 species